rnacentral:rRNA from 1 species
UACGUAGGCAGCAAGCGUUGUUCGGAGUUACUGGGCGUAAAGGGUGUGUAGGCGGUUAUUUAAGUUUGGUGUGAAAUCUCCCGGCUCAACCGGGAGGGUGCGCCGAAUACUGAAUGACUUGGAGUGCGGGAGAGGAAAGUGGAAUUCCUGGUGUAGCGGUGAAAUGCGUAGAUAUCAGGAGGAAUACCGGUGGCGAAGGCGGCAUCCUGGACCGACAUUGACGCUGAACGGCGAAAGCUAGGGGAGCAAACGGG